CUCAUCCUUUAAAGCUUGCCUGCUGCCUCAUUGACUCCCAAGUCUUGUGACAAGUCAGAGCUUCCUGUAUCAUAACUUUACUCUAGCUGAUUGCGAGCUGAAUUCAGUCUCCUGGCACUCUCCUCACAGAAUGACUAUAGCCCUUCUUUGAACCCUGCAGUUUUUAGCCGAGGACCACAUAUAUUUUCCACAUACUCUCGUCAGUGUUUCCCAUAGGGACCCUCAGUCCUGAAAAGACACAUCCCUUACUUUUGGCUACGCACGGUGGCUCACGCCUGUAAUCCCAGCACUUUGGGAGGCCAAGGUGGGUGGAUCACAAGGUCAAGAGACCGAUACUAUCCUGGCUAACAUAGUGAAACCCCGUCUAAAAUACAAAAUACUAAAAAUGCAAAAAUUAGCUGGGUGUCUGAGCUACUCGGGAAGCUGAGGCAGGAGAAUCGCUUGAACCCAGGAGGUGGAGGUACAAGUGAGCCAAGAUCACACCACUCUACUCCAGCCUGGUGACAGAACAGGAUUCUGUCUCAAAAAUAAAUAAAUAAUAUAUAUUUUUAAAAAAGACAUAUCCCUUACUUUAAAAAACUUUGUUUAGGCAACCCACUAUGGGCCAGAGUCCUCAGACUGACUCAGGAUAGCUGACUAAGCUGCUGCUCCAGAAUGCUGAAAUAUGUCAUAAUUCACCAUAUGAACCAUUGUUCAUAACUGUGUGACCACCAUAAAUCUUACCUUCAAGGAUGCUCUCAUCUGAAUGAACUAAGCAGAAGAAACCAAACAAUAAGAGUAGGGCUUGAACUUUUUAGCAAAUUCAGUUCUUAACUAAUUAGAAAGCAUGGAUGAGCUAACAGUUUCUUACCCCUUGCCAGGAGGGAAAUGGAGAAAUUUGAUUUAUACGUGAAAAUUCUGCUUUUCAACUUUCACAUGCCAAAGGCUGCAGAUGCUGAAACUAAUCACUAUGAUUCUACUUUAACUGCAAGAUGGCCAAAAAGUGCAGACAGGUUCAUGUAUAUGAAAACAGAGGAGAGCAGAUUUUGGUGAAUACUAGUGAUAUCUACUUUACAGCACCAGCUUCAUGGGAGCAAAGGAAACAAUUCAAUAGAAAGUACCUAAAAAGAGAAAUUUCCAAGACCAAGUGGCACUGAAGCAUUUAUUCUAACCGGAUUCUGCGUAUCUUCACCCUUUUCGCUGGAAGUACUGAUUCCAUUCCGCUAUCAAAGGAGAAAGCCUUGCGCGCCCCCUAGAGGACAAAGCGUGUAGACAGCAUUUCCCCGUCUGAGCUCUCUGGUCUUCCCGUCUCAGGAGAGGCAGUGAGGCCUCGCUUACUGCCACGGGCACGCCUCUUUACAGCACUCACCGCAUUGUGCUAUUUGUCGCAGCUCAUCAUUUCUUUACACACGUGAGCCUCUUGGCAAUCAGACUGGCAUUACAUCUCGUCUAACCCUUAAAAUGGGGUCUGGUGCAAAGCGGGCCCUCAGCAACUGUGCUUGUUAGGGGAAUAAAAGCAUUCAAGAGGAACAAAAACAUUAACAUUCCUGGAAUGCCCAUAUUUUAUCUUGCUGUGCUCAGUUAUUUCUCCUACUUUCUUUUCUACUUUUUCUCCAUCACAUAUUAUAACUAGCAACUUACAUAGCCCUUGUUCAUGCAAUAUGACAAUGAAUCCUACAAUUCUAUGUGAAUAGAAUUUCCCUUUUGCCCUUUAUAGAAAAGAAAACUAACAAACAGGUGAAGUGACCUGCUCAAGGUCACACAGCAGGAAGUAUUAGAACAAAGAAACAAAGCCAGGUUUUUCUGACCAGAUGGUAUGAUCAACUAGGCAACUUUAUUGUGUUCCUUCAGAUUUUGGUCAGCUUUAGCCUUGGUUUGUUUGCAAUAGCAACAUGCACACUGCAUACGCACCAUAUGCACACGCAUACUGCACAUAAAUUUGCAAAAUGGAGAUAACUUCUUCUGGCUCUCCCUUCUUCCUGAUUUAUAAAAUGAUCACUGAUUGUAAAGCAUUCAAACCAUAUACCCACUCCAAGCUUGAUUGCACAUUGAAUCAUCUGGGUAAUUUUUAAAAUUACUAGAACCUGGGUUCACCUCCGGUAGUUCUGCCUUAAUUUGUCUAGAAUGGGCCGAGCAUUCAGAUUUUUCAUAGGUUGUUAAUGUACUAAGUUGAGAACCGCUGCAGUACAGAAAACUGUAAAUAAUUUUUUAAAAAUCUGUAAUUCCUUGGCCGGGUGCAGUGGCCCAUGGCUGUAAUCCCAACACUUUGGGAGGCCGAGACAGGUGGAUCGGAUUGCUUGAGUUCAGGAUUUUGUGACCAGCCCCGCCAACAUGGUGAAACCCCAUCUCUACCAAAAAUACAAACGUUAGCUGGGCAUGGUGGUGCGUGCCUGUAAUCCCAGCUACUCAGGAGGAUGAGGCAGGAGAAUUGCUUGAACUUGGGAGGCGGAGGUUGCAGUGAGUGGGGAUCAUAGCACUGCACUCCAGCAUGGGUGAUAGAGCAUGACUCAGUCUCAAAAAAAAAAAAAAAUCUGAGGGUGGGGGCGGGGCGCCAAGAUGGCUGAGAGAACCCAGCACCUGAAUGCAGUUCCCCGCCAAUGAGAUGCAAAGGGCUAGAGGACUUCAGGAUUCCAAACAAGGUGCUGGGUUCAUUUCUGUGGGACUGAUAGGGGACUGAAAUAGGCCCAGGGAAGGAGCUGCAGGGCGAGAGCCGCCCAAGGGGGCAAAUCAAGACGGUGGGGGUGGGGGAGCGCAUCCCUACCUGAAAGGUGAAGGAGGCUCGGAGGUUCAGGGGACUUAACCCCCUCGGUGCUCCGUUUUGGUCCUGUGCUUACCUCAUCCCUCCUGCAACCCACCCCACAGUCCACCAGAGCCCUGCCAGACGGCGGGGCGCCGUGGGCAGUGGAUGCAAAUUUGAGCAGCGGCUAUCACCAGGUGCAGCAAGUUGUCGCAGGGACCUGGGAGGGAGUUUAGACUAACGUCAGCGGGACAGACUAUCCCACAGAGGGAGGUAGAGUUGAAAACAGGGAAACAGACCAUCAGGCCUGGCAGGCCUCACCUCCACAGAGUGCAAACUGAAGCCCUCGCUAGAGAACUUGGCAGCAUAAAUAUACCAACUUCACCCCAACCAGGAAGAUCCAGCUGGGGAAGGAGAGACGCCAUGGGAAGGCGGGGCCAAUCUCACCUGCGAACAGACACCAGGGAGGAACCACCCACCCAACAACCUGACUGAACCGAAAGAGUCCAGCAACGCCCUCUACAGGCCAAAAAAGAUACAGCUCCAACCUCAACAGGAAAAAAGUCCACUCAGACUCCUGAAAUCACCAGCUUCAAAGACUAAAGGGAGAUAAAUCCACGAAGAUGGGGAAAAAACAGCACAAAAAGGAUGAAACCAUCAAAGAACAGAACACCUCUUCUCCUUCCAGGGAUCACAACUCCUCACCAUCAAGGGAACAAAAAAAAGAGAAUGAAUCUGACGAAUUGACAGAAGCAGGCUUCAGAAGGUGGGUAAUAAACUUUUCUGAGUUAAAAGACCAUGUUCUAACCCAAUGCAAAGAAACUAAGAACCUUGAAUAAAAGGUUAGACAAAAUGCUAACUAGAAUAACCAGCUUAGAGAAGAACAUAAACAACUUGACGGAGCUGAAAAACAUAGCACGAGAACUUCGUAAGGCAUACACAAGUUUCAACAGCCAAAUCGAUCAAGCAGAAGAAAGACUAUUAGAUAUAGAAGAUCAAAUCAAUAAAAUAAAAUGAGAAGGCAAGAUUAGAGAAAAAAGAGUGAAAAAAAUGAGCAAAGCCUCCAAGAACUAUGGGAUUAUGUGAAAAAAAAAAACAAAACCUAAUCUACACUUGAUCAGCAUACCUGAAUGUGACAGGGAGAAUGAAUCCAAGUUGGAAAACAUUCUUCAAGAUAUUAUCCAAGAGAACUUUCCCAACCUAACAAGGCAGGCCAACAUUCAAAUCCAGGAAAUACAGAGAACACCACAAAGAUAUUCCUCAAGAAGAGCAAUCCCAAGAUACAUAGUUGUCAGAUUCACCAGAGUUGAAAUGAAGGAAAAACUCCUAAGGGCAGCCAGAGAGAAAGGUCGAGUCACCCACAAAGGAAAGACCAUCAGACUUACAGUGGAUCUCUCGGCAGAGACCCUGCAAGCUAGAAGGGAGUGGGGGCCAAUAUUCAACAUCCUUAAAGAAAAUAACUUUCAACCCAGAAUUUCAUAUUUGGCUAAACCAAGCUUGAUAAGUGAAGGAGAAAUAAAAUCCUUUACAGGCAAGCAAUUGCUGAGAGAUUUGAUCACUACUAUACCUGCCUUACAGGAACUACUGAAGGAUGUACUAAACAGGUAAAGGAACAACCAGUACCAGCUCCUGCAAAAAUGUACCAAAUGGUAAAGAAUAAUGAUGCAAUGAAGGAGCCAUGUCAAUUAACGGGCAAAACAACCAGCCAGUAACAAAAUGGCAGGAGCAAAUUCAAACAUAACAGUAUUAACGUUGAAUGUAAAUGGCCUAAAUGCCCCAAUCAAAAGACACAGACUGGCAAACUGGAUAAAAAAUCAAGACCCAUUGGUGUGCUGUAUUCAGGAGACACCAUCUCACAUGCAAAGACUCACAUAGAUUCAAAAUAAGGGGGUGGAAGAAGAUUUACCAAGCAAAUGGAGAGCAAAAAAAAGCAGGGGUAGCAAUCCUAGUCUUUGAUUAAAAUGGACUUUAAACCAACAAAGAUCAAAAGAGACAAAGAAGGGCAUUAUAUAAUGGUAAAAGAAUCAAUGUGAGAAGAAGAGCUAACUAUCCUAAAUAUUUAUGCACCCAAAUGCAGGAGCACCUAGAUACAUAAAGCAAGUUCUUAAAGACCUACAAAGAGACUGAGACUCCCACACAAUAAUAGUGGGAUUUUAACACUCCACUGACAAUAUUGGACAGAUCAACAAGACAGAAAGUCAACAAGGAUAUCCAGGACUUGAAUACAGAUUUGGACCUAGUGGACCUAAUAGACAUUUAUAGGACACUCCACCCCAAAUCCACAGAAUACACAUUCUUCUCAGAACCACAUUGCACUUACUCCAAAAUUGGCUACAAAAUCGGAAAUAAAUCACUCCUCAGCAAAUGCAAAAGAAUGGAAAUCAUAACAAACAGUCUCUCAGACCACAGCACAAUCAAAUUAGAACUCAGGAUUAAGAAAAGCACUCAAAACCAUACAAUUACACAUAAACUGAACAACUUGCUCCUGAAUGAUGAAUGGAUAAACAAUAAAAUGAAGGCAGAAAUAAAAAUGUUCUUCAAAACCAAUGAGAAUGAAGACACAAUGUACCAGAUCAUAUUGGACACAUUUAAAGCAAUGUCUAGAGGGAAAUUUAUAGCAAUAAAUGCCCACAUGAGAAACAAGGAAAGAUCUAAAAUCAACACCUUAUCAUCAAAAUUGAAAGAGCUAGAGGAGCAAGAUCAAGAAAACUCAAAAGCAAGCAGAAGAUGAGAAAUAACUGAGAUCAGAGCAGAACUGAAGAAGACAGAGACACAAAACACCCUUCAAAAAAAUCAAUAAAUCCAGGAGCUGAUUUUUUGAAAAGAUCAACAAAAUAGACCAUUAGAUAGACUAAUAGAAAAGAGAGAAGAAUCAAAUAGAUGCAAUUAAAAAAAAAAAAAAAACGCUAAAGGGGAAAUCACACCAAUUCCUCAGAAAUACAAACUACUAUCAGAGAUUACUACAAACAACUCUAUGCACAUAAAGCAGUAAAUCUGGAAGAAAUGGAUAAAUUCCUGGACAUUUGCACACUCCCAAAACUAAGCCAAGAAGAAGUUGAAACCCUGAAUAGACCAGUAACAAGGUCUGAAGUUGAGGCAGCAAUUAAUAGCCUACUGACCAAAAAAAACUCCAGGUCCAGAUUGGUUCACAGCUGAAUUCUACUAGACAUUCAAAGAGGAGCCGGUACCAUUUCUGUUGAAACUAUUCCAAACAACAGAGAGAAUCCUCCCUAACACUUUCUAUGAGACCAAUAUCAUCCUGAUACCAAAAUCUGGCAGAGACACAACUAAAAACAGGCCAAUAUCCGUGAUAAACAUAGAUGCAAAAAUCUUCAAUAAAAAACUGUCAAACUGAAUCCAACAGCAUAUCAAAAAGCUUAUCCACCACGAUCAAGAAGGCUUCAUCCCAGGGAUGCAAGGCUGGUUCAACAUAUGCAAAUCUAUAAAUGUAAUUUACCACAUAAACAGAACCAAAGACAAAAACCACAUGAUUAUCUCAAUAGAUGCAGAAAAGGCCUUUGACAAAAUUCAACAGCCCUUAUGCUGAAAACUCUCAAUAAACUAGGUAUCAAUAGAACAUAACUCAAAACAAUAAAAGCUAUUUAUGACAAACCCACAGCCAAUAUCAUACUGAAUGGGCAAAAAUUAGAGGUAUUCUCUUUAAAAAUUGGCACUAGAUAAGGAUGCCCUCUCUCACCACUCCUAUUCAAUAUAGUAUUGGAAGUUCUAGCCAGAGCAAUCAGGCAAGAAAAAUAAAUAAAGGACAUUCAAUUAGGAAGAGAAAAAGUCAAAUUGUCCCUAUUUGCAGACAACAUGACCAUAUAUUUACAAGACCCCAUUGUCUCCGCCCAAAACCUCCUUAAGCUGAUAAACAACUUCAGCAAAGUCUCGGGAUACAAAAUCAAUGUGCAGAAAUCACAAGCAUUCCUAUACAGCAAUAACAGACAAACAGAGAGCCAAAUCAUGAGCGAACUCCCAUUUACGAUUGCUUCAAAGAGAAUAAAAUGCCUAGGAAUACAAUUAACAAAGGAAGUAAAAGAGUUCUUCAAGGAGAACUACAAACCACUAAUCAAGGAAAUAAGAGAGGACACCAACAAAUGGAAAAACAUUCCAUGCUCAUGGUUAGGAAGAAUCAAUAUUGUGAAAUGGCCAUACUGCCCAAAGUAAUUUAUAGAUUCAAUGCUAUCCCAUCAAGCUACCAUUGACCUUCCUCACAGAACUGGAAAAAAACACUUUAAACUUCAUAUGGAACUAAAAGAGAGCCUGCAUAGCCAAAACAAUCCUUAUCAAAAAGAACAAAGCUGUAGGCAUCAUGCUACCUGACUUCAAACUAGACUACAAGGCUACAGUAAUCAAAACAGCCUUGUUGGUACUGGUAUCAAAACAGAGAUAUAGACCAAUGGAACAGAACAGAGGCCUUGGAGGCAAUUCCACACAUCUACAACCACCUGAUCUUUGACAAACCUGACAAAAACAAGCAAUGGGAAAAGGAUUCCCUGUUUAAUAAAUGGUAUUGGGAAAACUGGCUAGCAAUGUGCAGGAAGCUGAAACUGGACCCCUUCCUUACACCUUAUACAAAAAUUAACUCCAGAUGGAUUAAAGAUUUAAACCUAAGAACUAACACCAUAAAAACCCUAGAAGAAAACCUAGGCAAUACCAUUCAGGACAUAGGCACAGGCAAGGACUUCAUGACUAAAACACCAAAAGCACUGGCAACAAAAACCAAAAUAGACAAAUGGGACCUAAUUAAACUUAAGAGCUUCUGCACCACAAAAGAAACAAUCAUUAGAGUAAACCGACAACCAACAGUAUGGGAAAAAAAUGUUCCCAAUCUACCCAUCAGACAAAGGGCUGAUAUCCAGACUCUACAAAGAACUAAAACAGAUUUACAAGAAAAACAAACAAACAAACAAACAAACAAACCCAUUCAAAAGUGGGCAAAGAAUAUGAACAGACACUUUUCCAUAGAAGACAAAUAUGCAGCCAAAAAACAUGUGAAAAGAUGCUCAUCAUCACUGGUCAUUAGAGAAAUGCAAAUCAAAACCACAUUGAGAUACCAUCUCACACCAGUUAGAGUGGCGAUCAUUAAAAAAUCUGGAGACAACAGAUGCUGAAGAGGACGUGGAGAAAUAGGAACACUUUUACACUGUUGGUGGGAGUGUAUAUUAAUUCAACCAUUGUGGAAGACAGUGUGGCGAUUCCUCAAGGAUCUAGAAAUAGAAAUUCCAUUUGACCUGGCAAUCCCAUUACUGGGUAUAUACCAAAGGAUUUUAAAUCAUUCUAUCAUAAAGACACAUGCACACGUAUGUUCACUGUGGCACUGUUUAUCAUAGCAAAGACCUGGAACCAACCCAAAUGCCCAUUUAUGAUAGACUGGACUAGGAAAAUGCAGCACAUAUACACCAUGGAAUACUAUGCAGCCAUAAAAAAUGAUGAGUUCGUGUCCUUUGUAGAGACAUGGAUGAACCUAGAAACCAUCAUUCUCAGCAAACUGACACAAGAACAGAAAACCAAACACCGCAUGUUCUCACUCAUGGGUGGGUGAUGAACACUGAGAACACUUUGGCAUAUGGAAGGGAACAACACU